CAAAAACUAAAAUGACCAAAAUAGCAUUUUAUCUUUUGAAAAUUUUAUUUUUUUUAUUUUUCAAAAUUUGAAAUCUUAUCCCCAAAACCUCAUUUCUCAACUCUAAACCCUAAACCCUAAACUCUAAACCCUAAACCCUAAACCCUAAACCCUAAACUUUAAACUCUAAACUCUAAACCCUAAACCCUAAACUCUAAACCCUAAACCCUAAACCCUAAACCCUAAACCCAAAAUCUAAACCCUAAAUCCUAAACUCUAAACCCUAAACCCUAAACCCUAAAUCCUAAACCCCACC
rnacentral:lncRNA from 1 species